rnacentral:rRNA from 1 species
GACGAACGCUGGCGGCGUGCUUAAUACAUGCAAGUCGAACGAAGUGGCGCACGGGUGAGUAACGCGUAAUAAACCUGCCCUUCAGAGGGGGACAAAAGUUGGAAACGACUGCUAAUAGCACAUACUGAAUUGGGGGAUUGCGUCUGUUUGGCUAGUUGGAGGGGAAACGGCCAACCAAGGCGAUGAUCAGUAGCCUGUCUGAGAGGAUGAGCGGCCACCUUGGGACUGAGACACGGCCCAGACUCCUACGGGAGGCAGCAGUGGGGAAUCUUCGGCAAUGGACGAAAGUCUGACGGAGCAACGCCGCGUGAGUGAUGACGGUCUUCGGGUUGUAAAGCUCUGUUAUUCGGGACGCGGUACCGGAAUAGAAAGCCACGGCUAACUACGUGCCAGCCGCCGCGGUAAUUC